rnacentral:lncRNA from 7 species
GAGUACGGUGUGCACCCAGCGUGGCCCAUGCCCAGCUCAGCCUGACCCGAGAGCACAGCACAGCACAGCGGGACGGGGCGCGCAGCAGGCAGCGGGGCACAAUGGCACAGCGGGUGCUGGCGCUGGUACUCUGCCUGUCUCUGGCUGCAACAGCCUCCGCCGACUGUGCGACCCAGUGCUCCCUCUGUGCCAACCAGUCCACCCAUUGCACCCCGCUCAUCCUAGCGCCCACCUGGUCCCGCUGCCUUCCCUGAUACAAGAACACUCUCUGGUUCACCCCAUCUGGGCCCCCUGCUCCCCCCACAGCCAAUAAAAGGCAGAUGCCAAC